rnacentral:rRNA from 1 species
GACGAACGCUGGCGGCGUGCUUAACACAUGCAAGUCGAACGGUGAACCCGCUUCGGUGGGGGAUCAGUGGCGAACGGGUGAGUAACACGUGGGCAACCUGCCCCCGGCUCUGGGAUAACUCCAAGAAAUUGGGGCUAAUACCGGAUAUGACCGCUGGCCGCAUGGUCUGGUGGUGGAAAGAUUUAUCGGCUGGGGAUGGGCCCGCGGCCUAUCAGCUUGUUGGUGGGGUAGUGGCCUACCAAGGCGACGACGGGUAGCCGGCCUGAGAGGGUGACCGGCCACACUGGGACUGAGACACGGCCCAGACUCCUACGGGAGGCAGCAGGUGGGGAAUAGUUGGG